UGGGGAAUAUUGCACAAUGGGCGAAAGCCUGAUGCGGCGACGCCGCGUGAGGGAUGACGGCCUUCGGGUUGUAAACCUCUUUCGACAGGGACGAAGCGCAAGUGACGGUACCUGUAGAAGAAGCACCGGCCAACUACGUGCCAGCAGCCGCGGUAAUACGUAGGGUGCGAGCGUUGUCCGGAAUUACUGGGCGUAAAGAGCUUGUAGGCGGUCUGUCGCGUCGAUCGUGAAAACGUGCAGCUCAACUGCGCGCCUGCGGUCGAUACGGGCAGACUAGAGUACUUCAGGGGAGACUGGAAUUCCUGGUGUAGCGGUGAAAUGCGCAGAUAUCAGGAGGAACACCGGUGGCGAAGGCGGGUCUCUGGGAAGUAACUGACGCUGAGAAGCGAAAGCGUGGGUAGCGAACAGGAUUAGAUACCCUGGUAGUCCACGCCGUAAGCGGUGGGUACUAGGUGUGGGUUUCCUUCCACGGGAUCCGUGCCGUAGCUAACGCAUUAAGUACCCCGCCUGGGGAGUACGGCCGCAAGGCUA
rnacentral:rRNA from 1 species